UUUUUUUCGUAGACAUGUUCCUGAGCAGAUGUGUCUUACGCCGUCUUUAUUCAACUUCCUUUAAGAUUUUAAUUUGAAGGUCCACGCGCAUUACCGGAUUUGGAACUUUAAUCCGUUUGACGCGUCACGUUGUUUCUUUUAGUUGGGCUUGUUUCCAUUUCAAAUGGUGUGACCCUGGGUAGCAGCGGACCAAUCAAAGACAUGGAAGGUAUCGCGAGACUGUGCACUCGUGGGGACCGAGAGAAAAAAAGGAAGUGGAAGUAGGACCGGAAUAAUUAAGAAGGAAAAACGUGCUUAGACCGAGAAGGAGAAACAAAGAGCAGGAGAUUUAAUAAUAAAAAUGGAGAAGAAAUGAAGGAGUGGUUGAAGUGUGGCAAUAAGGGGAAGGAGGAGGAGGACGAAGGAAAGGGGAGAAAUUGAGAGAUGAUCUUAAAAUGUUUGGAGGUCAGACGAAGACAAGGGGGCGGGGCUUAAGUGUCGUGUCCCAGGAGCGUCUGUCUAAAAGAGUGGAAACUGUUUUUAAGCAAAUGAAGCGAAGAAAACAAGAGGGAAGGAAGACGGAGAAGGAGGACAUGACGGUUCAGAUGAAGUCCUGGUCCCAGUGCUGCUGUCCACGGCCCUGAUGUUUUUAACCUUUGAGAAGUUACGACGCCCCAGGAAAUGUCCAGGACUCAGGACUGGUCUCAGGGGUCUCCUCAAAACCCGGGACACUCUCAAGGAUCCCUGGAAGGUUCUUUAAGGACCCAGAGCAGCUUUUGAGCCCUGGGACGGAGCGGAGCAGCUGAUUGGAUGAAUGUGGGAGGACUUGAAGACAUCUGAAAAAUUCAUCUGCAGCUUCUCAGAGCUAAGUGAGAACAUUCACACAGAAGAUCAGUCGGACUAAUGAGACAAAUGAUCUGUGAAGAGACUGAGCUGGACUGAUCCUGGACUCCAUCUGAACCUGGUCUGGACAAAUAUCUGCUCCACCACCUGAGGCUGAGACAUGGACAUGGACAUGGACAUGGACAUGGACAUGGACAUGGACAUGGACCCUCCGGGCUCCUGUAGUCAGACCUCACACGCAGCGCCGCCGGCGUCUGAGAAGCGAGUCAAACCUGAGACAUGACAGUCUUGAAGACGUACAGGGAGGAAACCACAGAGACGUCCCAGAGGACAGACUUUAGUCCUACUUUGAUUUUCUGCGAGCAGGAGAAACGUCACGUCGUCUGCAGCUCAACAUUUUUUAUUCAUGAGAAAGAAAAUCAGCAAAAACAGAAAGAUCUGAUCUCCAGGAAAUAAAAACAGGAAAACGCAGCGGGACGACAACAAAGGAGACGACGAUGUCUUCACUUCUCUGAAAAAACAUGUUCAGCAGCUUUUACUGCAGCGGGACACAGAGACAGACAGGUGUGUCUUCAGUCAGUCCCUAAUCUACAGUAUGUCCAUGAGACCAUGUCCAAAACCAGCACCAUAGGAUCUGUGUCCUCUUAAAGGCGUGUCUUAUUCUGUCCACAGUGAAUGGACAGAAUAAGUCUACGUCUUUUCAGUGUCCCAGUCUUUGUACUUAAUCUGGACACUUCCUCGAACUGUGUCUAUAGUCAGUGUCCUCUGGUCCUCAGUGUCCUCUGGUCCUCAGUGUCCUCUGGUCCUCAGUGUCAGCCUGUCCUCACUCAGUUUCCUUUAGUCAGUGUCCACAGUUUGGUUCAAGGUCCAUGUGUUCUGUCCACAUGUAACUGUCCAUGUGACCUGUCUGUGUCCACGGCCUUCAACCUCAGUGUGUGUCCAGUGUCCACACUUUGUCUUCAGUCUCUCUCUCGUCCUCCCGUCCUCUCGUCCUUCACUUUUUUCUUUUAUUCCUCUUUUUUUUAAACAUUUUUUAUUAUCUCUCUCCCCCAUUUUUCCCUCUUUUCACCCCCCUCUCUCUCACCCUUUCCCUCUGUCUCUCCCCCUCUCUCAUGCUCUCUCACCCUCUCCCUGUUUCUCCCCCUCUCCCUCUUGGGAGGACCAGGACAGAUUGCUUUUCUCACCCUCCUGCUCUUAAUGUCAUUUUAUUCAGAGAGUGAAAAGAGAAGACAACGCACACACACACACACACACACACACACUCAGUUACUGAUUCAUCCAUUGAUUAGUGAUCGAUUGAUUUUGUCUUAAUCGACCUGACCCAGUGUCAUGAUUCUGACCAAUCACAGAGCUUCUCAUAUUUGAGCACAAACCUUAUGACAAAAACCAAUGGAACUGUACUGACCACGUCCUGAUUGGUCAGCUGACCUCAGAUUGAUUGAUAACAGAUGAUCAGUGAUGAUCAGUCAGUUCCACAGCAGUGAUCAACAUUCUUCCUCCUGCUGUUUGACAAUAGGACACUGACAGAAAACUAUUGAUUAGUUAUUGAUUAGUUAUUUAUCACUCAGUUCAUCAGUUUAAUUUAUUAAGGUCUAAAACUGCUGAGACCGUUUCUUAUGCAAUGCAGUUGAGGAACUGACCACCAGGGGAAGCUCUGGCCCUGUUCUGCUUCUCCUGCUAACACACACACACACACACACACACACAGAGGAAGAGAGGGAGGAA